AGGCGUAUAGCUCAGUGGCAGAGCGCUGCCUUUACAUGGCAGAGGUCGGGGGUUCGAUUCCUUCUGCGCCUACCA
rnacentral:tRNA from 1 species